rnacentral:lncRNA from 1 species
CAGUGAGUGGGAAGUCAGGUGGACCCAUGUUGUAAGAGAGGACGUGCUUCAUUGGGUCAUUCAUAGUCUACCUGGCUGUCUCCCCCAGAGAGAAGGCGUAUUCUCCAGGCCUCGGGUAUCAGCAGACAUGCAACUCUGCACAUCGAUCCAUCAUAGGAUUCAAGGGCAUCCACGUGGAGUCCACCAGCAAAUCACUGAGUGACAGAGUGGAGGCUGGCAGGUACGUUUAUUGCAUAACAAGCCACUGCAACACUUAAUAGCCUACACAAUAACAAUGC